GAUGAACGCUAGCGGCAGGCUUAAUACAUGCAAGUCGAGGGGUAGCAAGAUUGUAGCAAUACAAUUGUUGACGACCGGCAAACGGGUGCGGAACACGUACACAACCUUCCUACAAGUGGGGAAUAGCCCAGAGAAAUUUGGAUUAAUACCCCGUAACAUAGCGAUGUGGCAUCACAUUGCUAUUAUAGCUUCGGCGCUUGUUGAUGGGUGUGCGGCUGAUUAGAUAGUUGGCGGGGUAACGGCCCACCAAGUCUACGAUCAGUAGCUGAUGUGAGAGCAUGAUCAGCCACACGGGCACUGAGACACAGGCCCGACUCCUACGGGAGGCAGCAGUAAGGAAUAUUGGACAAUGGACGCAAGUCUGAUCCGGCCAUGCCGCGUGAAGGAUUAAGGUCCUCUGGAUUGUAAACUUCUUUUAUAAGGGACGAAAAAAGGUCUUUCUAGAUCGUCUGACGGUACCUUAUGAAUAAGCACCGGCUAACUCCGUGCCAGCCGCCGCCGUAAAAC
rnacentral:rRNA from 1 species